rnacentral:rRNA from 1 species
UACGUAGGGGGGCAAGCGUUGUCCGGAAUCAUUGGGCGUAAAGAGCGUGUAGGCGGCCAGAUAAGUCCGCUGUGAAAUCUCGAGGCUCAACUUCGAGCCUGUCGGUGGAAACUGUCUGGCUAGAGUCCGGAAGAGGAGAAUGGAAUUCCUGGUGUAGCGGUGAAAUGCGCAGAUAAUCAGGAAGAACACCCGUGGCGAAGGCGGUUCUCUGGGACGGUACUGACGCUGAGACGCGAAAGCGUGGGAGCGAACAGG